rnacentral:rRNA from 1 species
AACGAACGCUGGCGGCAUGCCUAACACAUGCAAGUCGAACGAGACCUUCGGGUCUAGUGGCGCACGGGUGCGUAACGCGUGGGAACCUGCCCUUAGGUUCGGAAUAACUCCCCGAAAGGGGUGCUAAUACCGGAUAAUAUCUUCGGACCAAAGAUUUAUCGCCUUUGGAUGGGCCCGCGUUGGAUUAGCUAGUUGGUAGGGUAAAAGCCUACCAAGGCGACGAUCCAUAGCUGGUCUGAGAGGAUGAUCAGCCACACUGGGACUGAGACACGGCCCGGAAUACUACGGGAGGCAGCAGUGGGGAAUAUUGGACAAUGGGCGAAAGCCUAAUCCAGCAAUGACGCGUGAGUGAUGAAGGCCUUAGGGUUGUAAAGCUAUUUUACCCGGGAUGAUAAUGACAGUACCGGGAGAAUAAGCUCCGGCUAACUCCGUG